rnacentral:lncRNA from 1 species
AUUCGGGGCUGUUAUCAGUCCACCUGUCGCAGGACCAGUCUCUCUCCCUUGGGCGCCUCUCUGAGCCUUCAGACUACUGAAGCUUCAUGUUGGCCCAUGUCAUCCCAGAGCAAGGACAGAAGAGAUGAGAGAGUGGUGUCACGAAGAAGAAUGAUUCUUUUUGGUAUUGUACUCUUUUAGAGGACAUCAAAUGCAUUUCAGAUCUAGAGCACUUAGACUCAGCAACUGAAGAAUGAGUAGGAGUCUUUCAGAAGUCCAAUGAAAAUGUCAAGGCUCCUGGAAAAUUCCUCAUGCCCAGUGACUUUCUACUUACUCAGCUAAAACUCAGGAUUUUGUUGAAGAAAGGGAAAAUCGUAUUGUCAGACUCAAAAAUGUUGCCGUCUUAAUUCCACAUUUAAUGUGGUUUUGAUGUAAGACUUUGGUGGCUCUCCAUUAUACACAGAAUACAGCUCAAGAACCUUAGCAGGACACAGGAGACUUUCCUGAUGUGGCUACAGUGAGUGUGAUUGAACCCCAGUGUUCCAGGGCCAGUCUCUCCAUUCCUCACCUUCCUGAUUUUGUCAGAACGAAUAGCUCCCUGGUGGGCAAGGAAGAGGAGAGUACGACUGAAGAAUGAGUGUUGGUGGUCCAAAGAAGACAGGUGAAUCCAAACUAACAGAAUCUUCUAAAUACAAUAAGACUUUAACAAAUUUCCGACAGAGUCUUCUUCAUGGAACAAUCCCGGGUAGGGAAAAUAUGUUGUCAUUUCUGCCGCUCAUAUUCUACAUCUGAACAAUACAACUGAAUUACAGGCACAGGAUUAUUGACUGGCAGAUGCUGCCUUUCUCAAACGCUCCAUGAACAGCAAAGAAAAAUCCUCCUAAAAUGCAGCAGGGUGUUAGUAUCCUCUUCCAUCGUGAGAGAAACUUUUGUUC